rnacentral:rRNA from 1 species
CCUACGGGAGGCAGCAGUGAGGAAUAUUGGUCAAUGGGCGCUAGCCUGAACCAGCCAAGUAGCGUGAAGGAUGACUGCCCUAUGGGUUGUAAACUUCUUUUAUAUGGGAAUAAAGUGCAGUAUGUAUACUUCUUUGCAUGUACCUUAUGAAUAAGGAUCGGCUAACUCCGUGCCAGCAGCCGCGGUAAUACGGAGGAUCCGAGCGUUAUCCGGAUUUAUUGGGUUUAAAGGGAGCGUAGGCGGGUUGUUAAGUCAGUGGUGAAAGUUUGGGGCUCAACCGUAAAAUGGCAGUUGAUACUGGCAUCCUGGAGUACAGUAGAGGUAGGCGGAAGUCGAGGUGUAGCGGUGAAAUGCUUAGAUAUCACGAAGAACUCCGAUUGCGAGGGCAGACUGCUGGACUGUAACUGACGCUGAUGCUCGAAAGUGUGGGUACCAAACAGGAUUAGAUACCGUGUAGUC